rnacentral:lncRNA from 1 species
CCUAAAUCCAUUAGUCAAUCUUAAAAUUGCUAAGAGCGAGGAAAAUUGACGUUCUAUUCCUCCGGAUCCUGCUCGAGAAGCUGGGGGACUCGGGUCCGGUGCCGAGGUGUGGCCCGAGCCUGGCACCACCCACGCCGGCCGGGUGACCCCGGCCCCUUGGGGCUCCCGCGCUCCGUCAGCAGGCGACGCUGGGAGGCUGGGGUAGGCCCAGAGCGAGGACGGGCCCGGACUGGGUAGUGGGGAUGUACCAGGGCCGGGUGCGGCGGGAGACGGCCCGGGAGGCGGAAGGUCGCGGACCUGCCCGACAGAAGAGUAGAUGAGGGGAGACCGAGGACGCCCGGGUCCGGGGAGCUUACGAGGAGGCCAGGAUCGCGGGAUUGACAUACGUGGUGUCAGAAGUGAGACCUGAAGAAAAGUUCACU